CAAUAGCGUAUAUUAAAGUUGUUGCAGUUAAAAAGCUCGUAGUUGGAUUUCUGGUGGGAGCGAUCGGUCUGGCGCUUAGCGCGAGUACUUGCAUCGUCUCCGGCCAUCCUUGGGGAGAGUCUGUCUGGCAUUAGGUUGUCGGGCAGAGGAUCUUCAUCGUUUACUGUGAAAAAAUUAGAGUGUUCAAAGCAGGCUUAUGCCGUUGAAUAUAUUAGCAUGGAAUAAUAAGAUAGGACUUUGGUACUAUUUUGUUGGUUUGCGCACCAAAGUAAUGAUUAAUAGGGACAGUUGGGGGUAUUCGUAUUCCGUUGUCAGAGGUGAAAUUCUUGGAUUUACGGAAGACGAACUACUGCGAAAGCAUUUACCAAGGGUGUUUUCAUUAA
rnacentral:rRNA from 1 species